UACAGGGGGUGCAAACGUUGCUCGGAAUUAUUGGGCGUAAAGCGCGCGUAGGCGGCUACUUAAGUCGGAUGUGAAAGCCCCUGGCUCAACUGGGGAAGUGCACCCGAAACUGAGUAGCUUGAGUGCAAAAGAGGGCCGCGGAAUUCCCGGUGUAGAGGUGAAAUUCGUAGAUAUUCGGAAGAACACCAGUGGCGAAGGCGGCUCACUGGACUGGUAUUGACGCUGAGGUGCGAAAGCGUGGGGAGCAAACAGG
rnacentral:rRNA from 1 species